AUUGAACGCUGGCGGCAGGCCUAACACAUGCAAGUCGAGCGGGGUUUUCGGACCUAGCGGCGGACGGGUGAGUAAUGCGUAGGAAGCUACCCGAUAGAGGGGGAUACCAGUUGGAAACGACUGUUAAUACCGCAUAAUGUCUACGGACCAAAGUGUGGGACCUUCGGGCCACAUGCUAUCGGAUGCGCCUACGUGGGAUUAGCUAGUUGGUGAGGUAAUAGCUCACCAAGGCGACGAUCUCUAGGUGGUUCGAGAGGAUGAUCAGCCACACUGGAACUGAGACACGGUCCAGACUCCUACGGGAGGCAGCAGUGGGGAAUAUUGGACAAUGGGCGCAAGCCUGAUCCAGCCAUGCCGCGUGUGUGAAGAAGGCCUUCGGGUUGUAAAGCACUUUCAGCGAGGAGGAAGGGGUGUGUGUUAAUAGUACACACCUUUGACGUUACUCGCAGAAGAAGCACCGGCUAACUCUGUGCCAGCCGCCGCCGUAACAC
rnacentral:rRNA from 1 species